UAAGUCGUGAUAAAGUUACAUUUUUUGUGUUUUCGGGAAACGCUUAUAAAGACGUAAUGAUUCUUAAUGUAUACUACAACACAAAGUCUAUCUCAUUUCAACGCUCUUUGGUGGAAAGGCUUCUUUGCCUGACCACGCAACUAUGGAUUUGUAACGAUGACAUCACAAUCACCUGACAACAACGUGAUAGAUAUAGGCUUGAAUAGUCGUCUGUAGCUCAUCGCAUCCGUGCUUAUUUAAUGACACUAACACAGAAGUGGCUCAGUUGUGUAUAAAAACGAUAGGACAAAAGGAGGUUGUACGGAUAUUUUUUGAAGAAACGAUUAUUUAUAAAGCUCAAGUGGAUAAAUCAUUUAAAUAACACAAAAUGAAUAAAUUAGUACACGUAUUCACCCUGGUCCAGCUCUUGUUGUUUGCAAUAAGUGGCUGCCUGUCAUACCCUUCCAUUGAGAUCCGGGAUAGUUACAACAGACAGACCAAGGCUAUCCGACUAGCGAACUGCCAAUUUGAUGACGUACUACACACAAACUGCUAUUCAUGUGCGAGACUUUACGACAGCCACGCCCUGUAUAAAGACUGCUGCCAGGGGGUAGAAACCAUUCUGGCGGAACUAUGCGCGACUGGACUAUGAAAACUCUGGAGCAAACAAAAGUCUGUCUUUCGGAUGGAUGUAAAAAUCAAAAGAACCAUUACGCUUCGAGGCAUCAUUAUGGUUAGCAACUCAUGGACAUUUAAUCAAUUGUAGGAUUUCAAUUAAGAAUCUCAUUUAUCUGUGCUUUACCACAUAAUUGAACGAUAGCGUUGUUCAGGUGUGUGUGAUUUUCUACAAAUUUAUCCUAAGCAAUACCGUGAACAAAUAAUAUACUUUUUCGUUUUGAUUACAUCGCAACCAUGUUAUUUUCAAUAUAAAAACGCUAUUGUACUACAUAUGAUUGAGUUAUGUUUGUGUUGUUUUAUUUAUAGAACAUAAACAUACGUGUAACAAAACAUCUAAUAAUAUAAGGAACUUUUUGGGCUGAAAACAAAUUAAAAUAACACAAUGUAAGGUGUAUUAUUUAGUGAAUGUUUUAAAAAUCUAUAAACAAACAUAAGAUGACUGUAUCAAAAUAUUUUUUCUUCAUAACCAAUAAAGAUGCAUUGUAUU